rnacentral:rRNA from 1 species
CAAUAGCGUAUAUUAAUGUUGCUGCAGUUAAAAAGCUCGUAGUCGAAUUUCUGACCUUGUAGACUCUAGCCAUUCCUCGACAGAGGGUGCGUCUAGACUUGUCUGCGGGUCAUCCUUCUGGAGAGUGCUUCUGCCCUUGAUUGGGUGUGUUGUGCGAUCCAGGACUUUUACUGUGAGCAAAUGAGAGUGUUCAAAGCAGGCUUUAUGCCAUGCCUGAAUCGUUUAGCAUGGAAUAAUAAGAUAGAACUGUGGUUUUAUUUUGUUGGCUUUUAAAACCAAAGUGAUGAUCGAAAGGGAUAGUUGGGGGUGCUCAUAUUCAGCGGGUAGCGGUGAAAUGCGAUGAUCCGCUGAAGAUGAACUAAUGCGAAAGCAUUCACCAAGGAUAUCUUCUUUGA